rnacentral:rRNA from 1 species
CGCGGCCUAUCAGCUUGUUGGUGAGGUAACGGCUCACCAAGGCAUCGACGGGUAGCUGGUCUGAGAGGACGAUCAGCCACACUGGGACUGAGACACGGCCCAGACUCCUACGGGAGGCAGCAGUGGGGAAUCUUGCGCAAUGGGCGAAAGCCUGACGCAGCAACGCCGCGUGGGGGAUGAAGGCUUUCGGGUUGUAAACCCCUUUCAGCAGGGACGAUUAUGACGGUACCUGCAGAAGAAGGACCGGCCAACUACGUGCCAGCAGCCGCGGUAAUACGUAGGGUCCAAGCGUUGUCCGGAUUUAUUGGGCGUAAAGAGCUCGUAGGCGGCUCAGUAAGUCGGGUGUGAAAACUCUGGGCUCAACCCAGAGCCGCCACCCGAUACUGCUGUGACUCGAGUGCGGUAGGGGAGCGGGGAAUUCCUGGUGUAGCGGUGAAAUGCGCAGAUAUCAGGAGGAACACCAGUGGCGAAGGCGCCGCUCUGGGCCGUGACUGACGCUGAGGAGCGAAAGCGUGGGUAGCAAACAGGAUUAGAUACCCUGGUAGUCCACGCCGUAAACGUUGGGCACUAGGUGUGGGUCUCAACCAACGAGAUCCGCGCCGUCGCUAACGCAUUAAGUGCCCCGCCUGGGGAGUACGG